CUCCCGCCGGCGACCGGCGCACGGGUGAGUAACACGUAUGCAACCUGCCCCUGUCAGGGGGACAACCCGCCGAAAGGCGGGCUAAACCCGCGUACAUGCCACCGGGGCAUCCCGGAGGCAGGAAAGGCUUCGGCCGGACAGGGAUGGGCAUGCGGCGCAUUAGGCAGUAGGCGGGGUAACGGCCCACCUAACCGACGAUGCGUAGGGGUUCUGAGAGGAAGGUCCCCCACACUGGUACUGAGACACGGACCAGACUCCUACGGAAGGCAGCAG
rnacentral:rRNA from 1 species